GAUGAAUGCUGGCGGCGUGCCUAAUACAUGCAAGUCGAGCGAACGGACGAGAAGCUUGCUUCUCUGAUGUUAGCGGCGGACGGGUGAGUAACACGUGGAUAACCUACCUAUAAGACUGGGAUAACUUCGGGAAACCGGAGCUAAUACCGGAUGAUAUUUUGAACCGCAUGGUUCAAAAGUGAAAGACGGUCUUGCUGUCACUUAUAGAUGGAUCCGCGCUGCAUUAGCUAGUUGGUAAGGUAACGGCUUACCAAGGCAACGAUGCAUAGCCGACCUGAGAGGGUGAUCGGCCACACUGGAACUGAGACACGGUCCAGACUCCUACGGGAGGCAGCAGUAGGGAAUCUUCCGCAAUGGGCGAAAGCCUGACGGAGCAACGCCGCGUGAGUGAUGAAGGUCUUCAGAUCGUAAAACUCUGUUAUUAGGGAAGAACAUAUGUGUAAGUAACUGUGCACAUCUUGACGGUACCUAAUCAGAAAGCCACGGCUAACUACGUG
rnacentral:rRNA from 1 species